AGUAAUUAAUCUGACAGUCGCUGAAUGUUGGUCCAUGGUCUAAGAAACACGUGAAAGCAUCUAGGAGGCAGUAAAUGGUGAAGGGAGCUAGAACGCCCUGUGUCAGGGGCUCCAAGAUCGGGCACGGACAGGACAGGAGAACGAACGGCACGGACAGGCCAGGAGAACGGCACGGACCCCUAGUUGAGGGAACCCGCUUCCCACCCGGAAGAGGACAGCAAUCUGGAGCGGACCGGCCACGUUGCCCAGAGGAGCUGGCGGGAGACUGGAAGUGUCGCGGUGGUGGCAGGCAUGGAUCAAAGCAACGAAGGCAGUAUGAAGAAGAUUAGCAAUGUGAAUCUUGACAAACUGAUAGACGACUUCUCGCAGAUAGAAAAGAAAAUGAUAGAAACCACUGGAAAGAACAACCGUCUGGAUAUCCAGCUGGAGAAGACUAAUAGUUUGUUAAAGAUAAUGCAAACAAAAGAGGCCACGAUAAAAGAAGGUCGGUCCUUCACUGCCUAAAGCAGUCUUAGUCUAAUGAGGGUGCUCACGACGACAGGGGCUGACGUUGUACUCUGUGCUUGUCGCCUACCUUAAGUGCACAUAGACCUUUGCAGACUGUUGUCUCAUUGAACUCUUUUUUAGUACUCCUCCAAAAUAUACAAAAACUACAAUGAAGGAA